CUAUGAAAAUGAUGAAAGUAAAGUGCGGGUGAUGAUCAAUUUCAUCUGAUCAAAAUCAUAUAUUUUCGCUACGUUCUUUCUGAUUGAUGU